ACGUAGGGUGCAAGCGUUGUCCGGAUUUACUGGGCGUAAAGGGCGCGUAGGCGGUCUGUUAAGUGUGAAGUGAAAUCUCCAUCGCUCAACGAGGAAAUUGCUUCGCAUACUGGCAGACUGGAGGGAUGCAGAGGUGAAUAGAAUUCCUGGUGUACCGGUGACAUGGAUUGAUAUCAGGAGGAAUACCCAAGGCGAAGGCAGUUCACUGGGCAUCAUCUGACGCUGAGGCGCGAAAGCGUGGGGAGCAAACAGGA
rnacentral:rRNA from 1 species